rnacentral:snoRNA from 1 species
CUGCAAUGAUGAGCGUAUUAUUUCAGUUCUGCUACUGAAUUCUCUUGAAGAAAAUUUAUACCAGCUUACCUUUUUCUGAUAU